rnacentral:lncRNA from 1 species
UUUUCUUUAAUUUCGAAAUUUUUGUAAUUAAUGUGAAUGAUACUUUUUUUUUUUGUCUUAGUAUUAUUGCCAUCAUCAUACUAGAAAACAUUGACUAACGAACUCUAAAUCGAGUUAAUCGUUGUCAUAUCAAAUUAAGAAAGAAAAAUAACAGGAAAAUAAAUAACAAUUUUCUUACCCCAUUUGCUUAUUGACUCUCUUAAACAAACAAAUCUUAAAAAGCAAGAGAAGAGGAUAUUUAUUACAAACACAUCUCUGCAACGAGCUCAUCCAAGUUCUUGUAAGAGCUCCCACCUUCUUUAAUGGCCUCCAUAGCUUUCUCCCUCAGCUUCAUCAACGUAACUCUCUCCGGCAAGUCCUCUCUCGCCGACUCAGCCAAAAUCCUAGCGAGCUUGUCCGAGUCAGGAACCGAGUCUCUGUUCUCUCCAACUCGCACUGCGGCUCUUAGUUUAUCAACGAUGAGCGUCGUGUUAAAGAAAUGGUCUGCUUGCAUCGGCCACGCUAGCAACAUAACUCCUCCGACCAUUCCUUCCAGAACCGAACCCCAACCCAAAUGAGUUAGGUAAGAUCCAACGGCUCGAUGCUCAAGAAUCAUAGUUUGUGGGGCCCAUCCUCUUAUCACGAGUCCUUUCUCCUUCACUCUCUCUUCAAAUCCCGCCGGGAUCACAUCUUCCUCAACGGAGUUAUCGCUGGAGUUCACCUUCUUAGCUGCGUCUCUCACCGCCCAUAUGAAACGCACACUGCUUUUCUCCAACGCCGCCGCUAAAGCAGCUGUUUGCUCCGCCGUGAGCCGGAUCUGGCUUCCAAAACCGACGUAUACGACGGAGUUAUCCUCGGGGCACGAAUCUAACCAAGCCGAGACUUUCGCCGGCGGGAUUGAGCUUUGUCCGCCACGGUCAACGCCAGCUUUAAAGGGGAGCAACGGUCCGACGGUCCAUAUACGGUGGUGAUUCAGGAAACGUGUUUUAACAGUUUCUACAAACUCAGGCUCGAGGUCGUAGAAACUGUUGAUGACGAGCCCGUAGCUUUCCGUUGUGGCAGUCUCGAGAUCGUUGAAGAAGCUUCUAUCUUCUUGAGCCCACAUGACGGAGAUCGAAUGAGCAUUGAUGGGUAAGAAACUAAUGGACUUAAUAGAGAAAGCAUCAGCUACUUUGUUAAUCCAAGGGCUGAGAAAUGAGCUUCCUAGGAUGGCGUCGGGGAGAUCCGACGGUGGUUGACGGCUGAGAAAGUCAACGAGAGGGUCGUGGAGACGAGAGAGAGCAUCAAACAUGUGAACUAUAGCUUCGAGAGGAAGUUGCUGGAGAGAUUCGACACCGGAAGGUAUACAAGGGUGAGAAGGAAAAGGAAGGAUUAGGGUUUUGAAGUGUUCCGGGGAGUGAAGAGAACGGAGAGCAUCGAGAUAGGAAGAGUUUUUGGGUGUGACGAGGACAGUGACGGUGGCUCCACGGAGAAGAAUCUGAUGCGUGAGGUCAAGAUGUGGAACCAUGUGACCGGAUUGUGGAAACGGUAUCACCAGAACGUGCGGCUUCUUCGUUGUUGUUGUUGUCAUGAUUGAUGUUUUUUUCUUUCUUUCUGGUUUUGGAGUGGAGAAAAAUUGAAAAGUGGAACUCCUUUUAUUUUUAGUUUUACUGCCG